rnacentral:lncRNA from 1 species
GCUUUUUCUGAGGCCUUCCCCAGUCACAGCAGCAGUUGGUCAGUUCCUCUUUCCUGCAGCUUUCCUCAGCGAAAGAACUGUACUGCUUUGUGGUAUAAAAUAAUUCUGGCUUAUUUCAUUUGCCCUUUUUUUUUCUUUCCUCCAUUCCAGGUAUUUUCUGUUAAUUCUCUCACAAUGAUAGAAAUGAUAGGCACGUGCUCAGUAUCAGUAUGGGAUGCUAAUAGGUGGUAUCUGUGAUCUUGGCCCUCCCUGUGUUUGUAGAACUGGUGAGAAUAGGUUUGAUUAGUUUGUAGGAAACGAAAGGCUAAGAGCAGUGCUUUGAGGCACAGAAGGUAAAGUAAAUCCCAGUGGAUGUUCAUUAGUGAAGGGAGGGAGCGUAUAAAGAGGAG